GUCCACGCCGUAAACGAUGAAUACUAGGUGUAGGGGUUGUCAUGACCUCUGUGCCGCCGCUAACGCAUUAAGUAUUCCGCCUGGGGAGUACGGUCGCAAGAUUAAAAACUCAAAGGAAUUGACGGGGGCCCGCACAAGCAGCGGAGCAUGUGGUUUAAUUCGAAGCAACGCGAAGAACCUUACCUAGACUUGACAUCUCCUGCAUUACCCUUAAAUCGGGAAAGUUCCUUCGGGGACAGGAAGACAGGUGGUGCAUGGUUGUCGU
rnacentral:rRNA from 1 species